GAUGAACGCUGGCGGCGUGCCUAAUACAUGCAAGUCGAGCGAACAGACGAGGAGCUUGCUCCUCUGACGUUAGCGGCGGACGGGUGAGUAACACGUGGAUAACCUACCUAUAAGACUGGGAUAACUUCGGGAAACCGGAUCUAAUACCGGAUAAUAUAUUGAACCGCAUGGUUCAAUAGUGAAAGACGGUUUUGCUGUCACUUAUAGAUGGAUCCGCGCCGCAUUAGCUAGUUGGUAAGGUAACGGCUUACCAAGGCAACGAUGCGUAGCCGACCUGAAAGGGUGGUCGCACACCCUGGAACUGAGACACGGUCCAGACUCCUACAGGAGGAAGCAGUCGAGAAUCUUACGGAAUGGAGGAAAGCCUGACGGAGCACAGCCGCGUGAGUGAUGAAGGUCUUCGGAUCGUAAAGCUCUGUUAUUAGGAAAGAACAAAUGUGUAAGUAACUAUGAACAUCUUGACGGUACCUAAUCAGAAAGCCACGGCUAACUCCGUG
rnacentral:rRNA from 1 species